AAUGAACGUUGGCGGCGUGGAUUAGGCAUGCAAGUCGUACGCUUUAUGUAGCAAUACAUGAAGAGUGGCGAAAGGGAGAGUAAUGCGUGGUUAGCUACCCUCGGGACUGGGAUAGCGGCGGGAAACUGCCGGUAAUACCAGAUGACGUCUUCGGACCAAACGUGUAAACCGGCCCGAGGAGGCGACCAUGUCCUAUCAGCUAGUUGGCGGUGUAAUGGACCACCAAGGCUAAGACGGGUAUGGGGCGUGAGAGCGUGCCCCCACUCACUGGGACUGCGACACUGCCCAGACACCUACGGGUGGCUGCAGUCGGGAAUCUUCGGCAAUGGGCGCAAGCCUGACCGAGCGACGCCGCGUGCGGGAUGAAGGCCUUCGGGUUGUAAACCGCUGUCGUAGGGGAGGAAGGUCUGGUGUAGAGCCAGGCUUGACCGAUCCUAGGAGGAAGGGCCGGCUAAUCUCGUGCCAGCCGCCGCGGUAAAAC
rnacentral:rRNA from 1 species